rnacentral:tRNA from 1 species
UCAUCGGUGGUUCAGUGGUAGAAUGCUCGCCUGCCACGCGGGUGGCCCGGGUUUGAUUCCCGGCCAAUGUA